rnacentral:rRNA from 1 species
UUUUAUGAGAGUUUGAUCCUGGCUCAGGACGAACGCUGGCGGCGUGCCUAAUACAUGCAAGUCGAACGCUUCUUUUUCCACCGGAGCUUGCUCCACCGGAAAAAGAAGAGUGGCGAACGGGUGAGUAACACGUGGGUAACCUGCCCAUCAGAAGGGGAUAACACUUGGAAACAGGUGCUAAUACCGUAUAAC